rnacentral:rRNA from 1 species
CAUGAUUUAGCCAGUACCCCCAAGCAAAGAGACCUUUAGUUUGAUACCCCGAAACCAGGUGAGCUACCCCGAGACAGCCUAUGUUAAUUUAGGGCUAACCCGUCUCUGUGGCAAAAGAGUGGGAAGAGCUCCGGGUAGAAGUGAAAGACCUACCGAACCUGGUGAUAGCUGGUUGACUGAGAGAUGGAUAGAAGUUCAGCCUCGCACACCCCAAACCAAGAAAUAUCAUUAUCAAGAUAUUUAGGGAUACGUACGAGAGUUAGUUAAAAGGGGUACAGCCCUUUUAACAAAGGAUACAACCUUUACAGGAGGAUAAAGAUCAUAAUGUAUAAGAUAUACUGUUCUAGUGGGCCUGAAAGCAGCCACCUAUACAGAAAGCGUUAAAGCUCGGACAGAAAGAAAUUUAUUAUUUAGAUAAAAAAUCUUAUUCCCCUAACUAUAUCAGACCAACCCAUGCCCACAUGGAAGAGAUUAUGCUAAAAUGAGUAAUAAGAAGACCCGCUCUUCUCCCAGCACAAGUGUAAGCCAGAUCGGACUAGCCACUGGAAUUUAACGAACCCAACCCAAGAGGGUAAUGUGAUCAACAAAAAACUCAAGAAGACCUCACAUUAAACAAUCGUUAACCCCACACUGGAGUGCUAUUUUAAGGGAAAGACUAAAAGAAGGGGAAGGAACUCGGCAAACACAAGCCUCGCCUGUUUACCAAAAACAUCGCCUCCUGCAACUGAACUGAGUAUAGGAGGUCCAGCCUGCCCAGUGACUACGGGUUCAACGGCCGCGGUAUCUUGACCGUGCAAAGGUAGCGCAAUCACUUGUCUCUUAAAUAGAGACCUGUAUGAAUGGCUAGACGAGGGCUUAACUGUCUCCCCCCUCCAGUCAGUGAAAUUGAUCUAUCCGUGCAGAAGCGGGUAUAAAUAUACAAGACGAGAAGACCCUUUGGAGCUUAAGGUACAAAUUCAACCACGUUAAACAACUCUAUAAGAAGCAAGAACUUAGUGAUACUGAAAUUUUACCUUCGGUUGGGGCGACCGCGGAGGAAAAACAAGCCUCCGAGUGGACUGGGCCAAACCCCUGAAGCUAAUAGAGACAUCUAUAGGACACAGAAUAUCUGACCAAAAAUGAUCCGGCUAAAAAGCCGAUCAACGAACCAAGUUACCCAAGGGAUAACAGCGCAAUCCCCUCCCAGAGCCCAUAUCUACGAGGGGGUUUACGACCUCGAUGUUGGAUCAGGACAUCCUAAUGGUGCAGCCGCUAUUAAGGGUUCGUUUGUUCAACGAUUAAAGUCC